CUUAACUCUUCAAUGCUGAAUUUCGUAUCUGCACAACAAAUCUACCCUUGGGUGCAAAAACAGAAACCUUGAACCUUGAACCUUUUAUACUAAAAUCAUUGAGUAUGUUAAUUCACCCCCAAGAAUAGUAAUAUAAUCAUAACAAUGCUUCAGACUAAUUAGCUAGGAAAAAAAUAUAUUGGCCAUUUGACGUAACCUGCCGGGAUUUAAAAAAGAAAGUGUAAAGAUUUUAGGAUGUGGCUUCUCCCAACAUGACCUGUUGCUCCUCCCUUCUCUUCUGCUGGUAAGAGGAAGAGUUGCCUGGUGUGAUCUUUGCACGGUGCUUCACUCUCCUCAUCCUGGCUUGAAACAAAGCAGGAGAUGUGUAAUCCCACUUCAAGCGGACUAUUCUAGUGUAAUCUCCUGCUAACUCAGAGUACACAAAAGUCACUUUUGAGUACUCCAUAAAAGAUUAAAACUGUCAAAGUUUGACCAUCUGUCCUCUGCUUCUGUUUGUCUUUCAGACUUUCAGGCUUUGUAUCUAUGUUUGUCUCUUCGUCUGUCAUUGUGUCACCCUGUAUGUGUUCUUGGCUGUUGUCCGUAUAUCAAACUGAAUGUGACUCCUUGAAACUGAAACUAAUGAUCUGUUGAGCAUCUUUAAAUUACAUAAUCACAUUAAGGGAAGUCCCAUGGUAAUAGGGUUAGGACUUAAUGGCAUAUGUGUGCGCACAUGCAUGCACACUUAUGAACGUGUCAGAGAAUGAUUAGGCGUGAUUGUUUCUAUAGAUAUGACACAGGCUUGUGUGUGUGUGUGUGUGUGUGUGUGUGUGUGUAUGUGCAAGUGUGCAUGCGUGUGAGCUUAACUGAAAACUGAAAAACGUUUUUGUUCACAGACAGUGAUUGUGCAGCACCUUUGGGGAAUUCUUCGCUUUCCUUUCAAGCGCUCUCUUUUUAUUUCCUGUCUUUAUUUCAGGCAUGCAGCGCUGGAGCUUCACUAGGACAACAAUGGGUCAUUUCAGCCAAGUAGCCAACAACAAUGAGGUCUGGGAUACCAAUGCGGAUGACCACAGUAUUGCCUGUGGGUUCCUCCAUGGGUGCUCUUGCACUGUGACUCCGCUGUGCACCGGGACAGAAAGCCGGAACACCGACAGGAACAGGAGCGCCGCUGUCCUCUUCCCGGGAGCUGCUGCUGUCAGUGCUGGCCCCCUGGCUGCCGUUUGCUGUGUGUGUGUAAGGGUGUGUGAGUGUGUGUGA
rnacentral:lncRNA from 1 species